UACCCGCAGUCCGAGUGGUAGUCGAUUUUAUUGGGCCUAAAGCGUCCGUAGCCGGUCUGGUAAAUGCCUGGGUAAAUCGUCUGGCUUAACCAAACGAAUUCCGGGUAGACUACCAGACUUGGGACCGGUUGAGGGAGAGGGUACUUCAGGGGUAGGAGUGAAAUCUUGUAAUCCCUGAAGGACCACCAGUGGCGAAGGCGCUCUCCUAGAACGGGUCCGACGGUGAGGGACGAAAGCCAGGGGAGCAAACCGGAUUAGAUACCCGGGUAGUCCUGGCCGUAAACGAUGCGGGCUUUGCAUUGGGGGUCCUACGUGGGCGCCCAGUGCCGUAGCGAAGGCGUUAAGCCCGCCGCCUGGGAAGUAUGGUCGCAAGGCUGAAACUUAAAGGAAUUGGCGGGGAGCACCGCAAUGGGAGGAGCGUGCGGUUU
rnacentral:rRNA from 1 species